CCUACGGGGGGCUGCAGUGGGGAAUAUUGGACAAUGGGGGGAACCCUGAUCCAGCCAUGCCGCGUGUGUGAAGAAGGCCCUCGGGUUGUAAAGCACUUUCAGUGAGGAAGAACGCCUGGUGGUGAAUACCCAUCAGGAAAGACAUCACUCACAGAAGAAGCACCGGCUAACUCCGUGCCAGCAGCCGCGGUAAUACGGAGGGUGCGAGCGUUAAUCGGAAUUACUGGGCGUAAAGCGCGCGUAGGUGGCUUGAUAAGCCGGUUGUGAAAGCCCCGGGCUCAACCGGGGAACGGCAUCCGGAACUGUCAAGCUAGAGUGCAGGAGAGGAAGGUAGACUUCCCGGUGUAGCGGUGAAAUGCGUAGAGAUCGGGAGGAAUACCAGUGGCGAAGGCGGCCUUCUGGACUGACACUGACACUGAGGUGCGAAAGCGUGGGUAGCAAACAGGAUUAGAUACCCCAGUAGUC
rnacentral:rRNA from 1 species